UACGUAGGGGGCAAGCGUUGUUCGGAAUUACUGGGCGUAAAGGGCGCGUAGGCGGCACGGCAAGUCAGGAGUGAAAGGCCUGGGCUCAACCGAGGAACUGCUUUUGAGACUGCCGAGCUAGAGUGCAGAAGGGGCAACUGGAAUUCCCAGUGUAGCGGUGAAAUGGCGUAGAUAGUUGGGAAGAACACCUGAGGCGAAGGCGGGUUGCUGGGCUGACACUGACGCUGAGGCGCGAAAGCCAGGGGAGCAAACGGG
rnacentral:rRNA from 1 species